rnacentral:lncRNA from 1 species
UUCUGGAUCUCCGGUCCCUCAACCAUUCCUUAUAGAAAUGGGUUAAAGAUGAAGUUCAGUUGCUUUACCAGACAUUGAUUUCAGUGUAGUUUGACGGCCAGGUAAGGAUGAAAAGAAGUAGUGGCCAGAGCUAGCUUAGAAAUCCCAGGGCUACACACUACUCUUCUUGCUAUAAAGCACAUAUUGAUAAGUAAAAAAGAGAAGAAAUUGGAAAGGAUUUCUCUCUUUCACCCAUCCAUAUCCAAGACUCUACAGUUGAGUCUGAUUGUCUUAGCUCUUCUCAUUCCUAUUUAGAUAUUAAAUAUCUAGUUAUAAGUUCUAUCUACCCCUCUAUCAUCUCUCUCUUCCUUUCCCAUACAUAAUAUUGGGAGUAAUUAGAGGUAGCCGGGAGAACAUGCAUCUGCCUUGAAUACUCGGCUUGCUUUGCCUAUCCUAUUCCCUCUUCCGAAAGAUGGACAGACUGCUUUCAAUGGGAAAGUGCUCCAUCUCUCUCUGGUAAAGAGUAAGAAAAGGGAAGCCCUAGACAGAGAUUUCUUAUACCUGUCAGAAAUCCGUCUUUUCAUUUAGUUAGGACCUUAUACCUUCUAGAGUAAUGGUGUCAAGCAUUCCACUAAGAAAACAUAGUUACGUGCUGCUGGUGAGGCUGCUAGAGUAAAGUCUAGAGCUUAGUCAAUGCGUCCGCAAUAAGCUAUCCUGACUUCAUCUCCUAUAAAUUACUUACAUACGUGGCUCACGAGCCCAUCAAUAAGGACUGACUGAAGGAAGGAACAGACCCCGUAGCUAAAGCCGAAGAAGAUGCGAAUGCGGAUACGAUACCAGCAGACGCGCCCCUGCCUCCCUCGCAGUCAAAACUCUCCUCUCCUCAGCUAUAGUAAUUGGUCACUUGUCCCUAUCCCUAAAUUUACAUAGACCAUCUCCCCUUCCCCCGUCCCUGUCAACUAGAAAGCUAGUAAGC